CACCUCCCUGGAAAGGAGCAGGGCAGAGCUGCGAGCUGUUUCCAGCGGCAGCAGUUAACAGUUGGCCGGGGCUUAAAGCAGGAUGGUUUAAAUUAUUUUUGGGACAGGUUGAAUACAAUAGAAAACCCAACAUCCAUAAAAGCACCUGCCAAGCCUAACUCUAAAUAUAAAUCAUCUGCAGUGCCAGACCAUCCGAAGCCAGUCCUGCUCCGCUCGAGUUACUGCUCUCUGGUGCUGCACUGCACGCAUCAGCCUUGUCACCGCGCGUUCUGCCUCCUGCCACUUCAGCAGGGCACAACUCCUCGAGGAUGGGCGAGCUGACAAAACCUGGUCAGUCUCACUUCUCAGCAGGUGUCACUUCAUGACAUUUCCUACUUUCUGAGGCCACCACUCUCCAGAAGUGCUAUUUGGGGAUGGUGUUACAUUGGCUGGAAGUUUGACAUGGAUGCAGUGACCUGGGAAUGCUUUCUGGGGGCAGUGCUGACUGCCAGCACUGACGCAGGUGGCCAUUGGGCUGAGCCUGGCCUUUCAUCUGCUAAUGAGGGGAACAACCUCCACGUGUUUCAUUUCUACUGUGGGCAGCUCUCUUCUGGGGGUAGGACAGGCAAUGAGGCAAUUAGCAGCAUCUUUAGCAUUGCCAUGCACGGGCAAAUGAGCUCUAACGACAUAACAAGGCAUGUGAACCUUUGAUACAAUGCAGAAGGUUAUAAAUAACCUUCAACAACUCCUCCCUAUUUGUCUCUUGAGUGUUCCCUGUGUGGGGGGAGGAUCAGACUCUAUUGAUUUGUGUGCUGUAUCUGAUGAGAACCACCUGAGAGGUCUCCCAUCAGCUCAGAGUCAAACCCAGCUGCCUCUCUUUGCUAGACCAAAAGAUCUGCAAAGACCUUUUGGGUUGGGUGCUGUUCCCUGAGCAGUGGCUGCCUGAGAGACCCAUGGAGAUUCCUGGUGUGAUGGCUGGAAGUCCAGGGACCUGAGCAUGAACAACAUCAGCCAGCUGCAGCCCAGCGCCUUCCGCCGCCUGCAAUUCCUGGAGGAGCUACGCCUCUCUGGAAACCAGAUCUCCAGUAUCCCAGGGGAAGCUUUCUCUGGCCUCUACAGCCUGAAGAUUCUGAUGCUGCAGAACAAUCAGCUGAGCCGCAUCCCUGCAGAGGCACUGAGAGAUCUUCCAAACCUCCAAUCUCUGUAAGUCAUUAAGAAUCAAUGCUGCAAGCUGUGCAGUCCCUUGGGGGCAGGACUUCCCAGCACUUGAGUCAUUAAUUCCUUUGUCAAGGAUGUUCUGUCCCUUCUUCCUUUUCUUUUCCAAUUAAAGCAAAGAUUACUGUCACUUAGCAUUGAAGGGAGGGUGGUUUUCAUGGAAGGAACACUGUUGUGGUAAAGGAUGUUGAAAUUACAGCUCCCCAUGUGUGCAUAGUGACGAAAAGGCCACCAGAGCCAAUGCACUUUUCAAGGAAUGCUGGAAAAUGUCCACCCAGGAGGGUUCUGUCCUCAUCUCUGCAGACCACAGCGGGGCAGGGACCUGUUGGGCACACGGAGGAGGAGCAGCUGUCAGCACGGGGGUCCUCCCCACACAAAGGGCCGUUGUGUCAGAGUAGGAGACGCCUUAAAACACUGCUAGUGAUCCAGGCACGAAGCUGAAGCCGUGAUGAUGGUCGUCAUUUAAAGUAACCGCACCUCCAGCAGCUCCGUGCUGCAGCACUCCACCAGAAAUCACACAUCACCAAGACACGCAGUGUCCUGAGUGUGGGACAGGUGGAGGUGUAAAUACGUGCAAAAAAUGACCGUGCUUUGCACUUGCUCCACUUUCCCGAGGACAUCUGAGCGCGGCGCAGGACCACGGCUGGGUGCUGGGAGCCCGGCGUGGCUGGGAGGCGCAGCCCUGCUCUGCGUGGGACAUUUCUGAAGGUGCAGUGUGUGUCACUGAGCUUUGUCCCACCUCUGCCACGCACUGCGAGCACGGCCUGCUGGUGUCCAUCCAUGCUGCUCCACAGGGGCAGGCACUGCUCGCAGGGCUGCAGUUCUCCUUCUGGUUCACACUUUUCCUUCUCGCUCCGUCGUCACAGGGCAGCACUGCACACAGAUGAAGGAUACCCAGUGUGAAAAGCAGUGUCUCAGUGUGGACAGUCUCUGUGUCUUUAGGCAGGUACAGAGCUGAGGUGCUUUGGUUGGAUGUCACCGUGCUGCCAUGACUUGUCUGCCGA